GUCAGGCGCGGUGGCACGUGCCUGUAGUCCCAGCUAUUUGGGAGGCUGAGGCUGGAGGAUCGCUUGAGCCCAGGAGUUCUGGGCUGUAGUGCACUAUGCCAUUUGGGUGUCCGCACUAAGUUCGGCAUCGAUAUGGUGACCUCCCGGGAGCAGGGGGACCACCAGGUUGCCUAAGGAGGGGUGAACUGGCCCAGGUCAGAAGUGGAGCAGGUCAAUACUCCCGUGCUGAUCCGUAGUGGGAUCGCACCUGGGAAUAGCCACUGCACUUCAGCCUGGGCAACAUAGCAAGACCCUGUCUCUA
ensembl:misc_RNA Metazoa_SRP Metazoan signal recognition particle RNA